UGGAGAAUGAUCCUGCGAGUUACGUUCAGUGGCGAGGUUAAGUAUAACGGAGCCGAAGGGAAACCGAGUCUGAACAGGGCGAUUUUAGUCGCUGGGCGUAGACGCGAAACCUGGUGAUCUAAGCCUGUCCAGGGUGAAGCUGUGGUAAGACACAGUGGAGGCCCGAACUCACCGCCGUUGAAAAGUUGGGAGAUGAGGUAGGUUUAGGGGUGAAAAGCCAAUCGAACUAGGAGAUAGCUCGUUCUCUCCGAAAUGCAUUUAGGUGCAGCCUUGAGUGUUUAAUUAUGGGGGUAGAGCACUGAAUGGACUAGGGGGCAUAUUGCUUACUGAAUCCAAUCAAACUCCGAAUACCAUAAUUCUAAGCUCAGGAGUGAGACUAUGGGAAUUAACUUCCAUUGUCAAAAGGGAAACAACCCAGACCACCAGCUAAGGUCCCUAAUCAUAACUAAGUGGGAAAGGAGGUGGAGAUUCAUAAACAACCAGGAGGUUGGCUUAGACGCAGCCAUACCUUUAAAGAGUGCGUAAUAGCUCACUGGUCGAGAGUCUCUGCGCCGACAAUGUAACGGGGCUAAGUUAUGAACCGAAGCUGUGGAAUUGCGCAAGCAAUUGGUAGGAGAGCGUUCUGUAGGCCGUUGAAGGAGAAACGUAAGUAACUCUGGAGGUAUCAGAAGUGAGAAUGCAGGAAUAAGUAGCGAGAAGGGAGGCGAGAAUCCUCCCCGCCGGAAGACCAAGGUUUUCAGGGUAAAGCUUGUCUUCCCUGAGUAAGCCGGGACCUAAGCCGAGGCUAUAGUGCGUAGGCGAAUGGAAAACAGAUUAAUAUUUCUGUGCCAGUCAUAUUUUGUGAUGGAGGGACGCAGAAGGGUAUGUACGCGGAAGAACGGUAGUUUCCGUAAAAGCAUGUAGAAUGACUUGAUAGGCAAAUCCGUCAAGUUAGAUUUGAGGUGUGAUAUAUAGUCGUAAGAUGAAUGUACAAAUCCCACGCUGCCGAGAAAAGCUUCUAACGUUAAGGUAUGACUGCCCGUACCCGAAACCGACACAGGUGGUCAGGAUGAGAAAUCUAAGGCGGACAGGCUAACUCUCGUUAAGGAACUCUGCAAAAUUGCCCCGUAACUUCGGGAGAAGGGGUGCCCCUGAGUGUUAACAUACACGCGAUGUAAAGCGCUUGGGGGUCGCAGUGAAGAGGCUCAAGCAACUGUUUAACAAAAACACAGGUCUAUGCUAAGCUGUAAGGCGAUGUAUAUGGGCUGACACCUGCCCAGUGCCGGAAGGUUAAGAGGAGGAGUGAGAGCUCCGAAUUGAAGCCCCGGUGAACGGCGGCCGUAACUAUAACGGUCCUAAGGUAGCGAAAUUCCUUGUCGGGU
rnacentral:rRNA from 1 species